rnacentral:misc_RNA from 1 species
AAGGAUCAUUAACGAAUAACUAUGGUGUCUUGGUUGUAGCUGGCUCCUCGGAGCAAUGUGCACGCCCGCCAUUUUUAUCUUUCCACCUGUGCACCGACUGUAGGUCUGGAUACCUCUCGCCCUUCACGGGGCGGAUGCGAGGGUUGCCCGUCACACGGCUCCCCUCGAAUUUCCAGGCUCUACGUCUUUUUACACACCCCAAUAGUAUGAUGCAGAAUGUAGUCAAUGGGCUUCUCAGCCUAUAAAACACUAUACAACUUUCAGCAACGGAUCUCUUGGCUCUCGCAUCGAUGAAGAACGCAGCGAAAUGCGAUAAGUAAUGUGAAUUGCAGAAUUCAGUGAAUCAUCGAAUCUUUGAACGCACCUUGCGCUCCUUGGUAUUCCGAGGAGCAUGCCUGUUUGAGUGUCAUUAAAUUCUCAACCUCACCAGUUUUCUGAACUGUUCUUCGAGGCUUGGAUGUGGGGGUUUGUGCAGGCUGCCUCACGGCGGUCCGCUCCCUGAAAUGCAUUAGCGAGUUCAUACUGAACUUCCGUCUAUUGGUGUGAUAAUUAUCUACGCCGUGGACGAGGAUCAGACUCGCUUCUAACCGUCCGCGAGGACAAUACCUUGACAAUUUGACCUCAAAUCAGGUAGGACUACCCGCUGAACUUAAGCAUAUCAAUAA